rnacentral:rRNA from 1 species
CUGGCAGUCAGAGGCGAUGAAGGACGUGCUAAUCUGCGAUAAGCGUCGGUAAGGUGAUAUGAACCGUUAUAACCGGCGAUUUCCGAAUGGGGAAACCCAGUGUGAUUCGUCACACUAUCAUUAACUGAAUCCAUAGGUUAAUGAGGCGAACCGGGGGAACUGAAACAUCUAAGUACCCCGAGGAAAAGAAAUCAACCGAGAUUCCCCCAGUAGCGGCGAGCGAACGGGGAGCAGCCCAGAGCCUGAAUCAGUGUGUGUGUUAGUGGAAGCGUCUGGAAAGGCGCGCGAUACAGGGUGACAGCCCCGUACACAAAAAUGCACAUGCUGUGAGCUCGAUGAGUAGGGCGGGACACGUGGUAUCCUGUCUGAAUAUGGGGGGACCAUCCUCCAAGGCUAAAUACUCCUGACUGACCGAUAGUGAACCAGUACCGUGAGGGAAAGGCGAAAAGAACCCCGGCGAGGGGAGUGAAAAAGAACCUGAAACCGUGUACGUACAAGCAGUGGGAGCACGCUUAGGCGUGUGACUGCGUACCUUUUGUAUAAUGGGUCAGCGACUUAUAUUCUGUAGCAAGGUUAACCGAAUAGGGGAGCCGAAGGGAAACCGAGUCUUAACUGGGCGUUAAGUUGCAGGGUAUAGACCCGAAACCCGGUGAUCUAGCCAUGGGCAGGUUGAAGGUUGGGUAACACUAACUGGAGGACCGAACCGACUAAUGUUGAAAAAUUAGCGGAUGACUUGUGGCUGGGGGUGAAAGGCCAAUCAAACCGGGAGAUAGCUGGUUCUCCCCGAAAGCUAUUUAGGUAGCGCCUCGUGAAUUCAUCUCCGGGGGUAGAGCACUGUUUCGGCAAGGGGGUCAUCCCGACUUACCAACCCGAUGCAAACUGCGAAUACCGGAGAAUGUUAUCACGGGAGACACACGGCGGGUGCUAACGUCCGUCGUGAAGAGGGAAACAACCCAGACCGCCAGCUAAGGUCCCAAAGUCAUGGUUAAGUGGGAAACGAUGUGGGAAGGCACAGACAGCCAGGAUGUUGGCUUAGAAGCAGCCAUCAUUUAAAGAAAGCGUAAUAGCUCACUGGUCGAGUCGGCCUGCGCGGAAGAUGUAACGGGGCUAAACCAUGCACCGAAGCUGCGGCAGCGACGCUGAUGCGUUGUUGGGUAGGGGAGCGUUCUGUGAGCCUGCGAAGGUGUGCUGUGAGGCAUGCUGGAGGUAUCAGAAGUGCGAAUGCUGACAUAAGUAACGAUAAAGCGGGUGAAAAGCCCGCUCGCCGGAAGACCAAGGGUUCCUGUCCAACGUUAAUCGGGGCAGGGUGAGUCGACCCCUAAGGCGAGGCCGAAAGGCGUAGUCGAUGGGAAACAGGUUAAUAUUCCUGUACUUGGUGUUACUGCGAAGGGGGGACGGAGAAGGCUAUGUUGGCCGGGCGAAU